rnacentral:rRNA from 1 species
UCUGGUUGAUCCUGCCAGUAGUUAUGUGCUUGUCUCAAAGAUUAAGCCAUGCAUGUCUAAGUACACACGAAUUAAAAGUGAAACCGCAAAAGGCUCAUUAUAUCAGUUAUGGUUCCUUAGAUCGUUAACAGUUACUUGGAUAACUGUGGUAAUUCUAGAGCUAAUACAUGCAAUUAAAACACGGACCUUAUGGGACGUGUGCUUUAAUUAGGCUAAAACCAAGCGAUCGCAAGAUCGUUACAUUGGUUGAACUCUAGAUAACAUGCAGAUCGUAUGGUCUUGUACCGACGACAGAUUUUUCAAAUGUCUGCCCUAUCAACUUUUGAUGGUAGUAUCUAGGAAUACCAUGGUUGCAACGGGUAACGGGGACUCAGGGUUCGAUUCCGGAGAGGGAGCCUGAGAAACGGCUACCAUAUCUAAGGAAGGCAGCAGGCGCGUAAAUUACCCACUCCCAGCUCGGGGAGGUAGUGACGAAAAAUAACAAUACAGGACUCAUAUCCCAGGCCCUGUAAUUGGAAUGAGUACUUUUUAAGUCCUUUAACAAGGACCAAUUGGAGGGCAAGUCUGGUGCCAGCAGCCGCGGCAAUUCCAGCUCCAAUAGCGUAUAUUAAAGUUGUUGCGGUUAAAACGUUCGUAGUUGAACUUGUGCUUCAUACGGGUAGUGCAACUUACAAUUGUAGUUAGUACUAUACCUUUAUGUAUGUAAGCGUAUUACCGGUGGAGUUCUUAUAUAUAAUUAAGUACUUGUAUUUUUUUAUAUAUUCCUCCUAUUUGAAAACCUGCAUUAGUGCUCUUCAUCGAGUGUUAUUGUGACCCGGUACAAUUACUUUGAACAAAUUAGAAUGCUUCAAGUAGGCUUCAAAUGCCUGAAUAUUCUGUGCAUGGGAUAAUGAAAUAAGACCUCUGUUCUGCGUUCAUUGGUUUUCAGAUCAAGAGUUAACGAUUAAUAGAAGCAGUUUGGGGGCAUUAGUAUUACGACGCGGGAGGUGAAAUUCUUGGACCGUCGUAAGACUAACUUAAGCGAAAGCAUUUGCCAAAGAUGUUUUCAUUGUAAUAAGUGUAGUAUGCUCAUAUUAAAUUAAAUAUAAUAUACACAUUCACAUAAAGUAUUCAUUAUUUCGAAUACCCACUGUACCGACGGUACUUAAAGAAUACACACUGUAACACUUUGUUGCAGUGUUUACGUAACAAUAAAGUCCCAGACAUGAUCGUAUUACGAUUCACUCAAGAAUGCCUCGAGCGACCCAAGUGCAGCGUCAGCAUGUUCCCAUGACUUGACGGCACUAAUAUACAUGCAUACACACAUAUAUCUUCCCUCGCGCUCUCGCUGCCAACAGCGCUGAGCAUAUUCACACAUAUACAUACUAACAUAUAAGAGAUAAGAACACAUAGUUUUGCCGCUCCGCUGCCGUCGUCACUGGCAGCGCAGCUCUGCGGCUUUUGGCUUAUGAAAGCCAAAACACAAUUGUUAAAUUUAAUAAACAAGAACCAACAAAACAGAUCGGAGGGUUAACUCCCGAAAGAUCAGAA